AUACUUCAGAAGUAGCAAAGUGGUUUACACACCUAUUGCAUAUACCUUAUUUUCUGGAGUAUUGUCAUGACAUCAGUCUGAGUCAUGAAUAUUGUUUUUCUGUUCUGUGCCCACCAUGUAUUUGUGCCGGUGAAUCACUGCGGUUUCACUUGUAACACGUAUUUGAUCCGAUUUCUUGAACGCGGUGAAUAUUGCCACGUGUAUGAAGCAGAAACUUAUACACCACUGGCUGAGUUUGGAAAAGGAGAGCUGGACCGGCCGACAGGUGUCUGCGUGACAAGUGAGGGCUUAGUAGCUGUUUCCUCUUUCCGUAAUUACAAGAUUUUCGUGUUUUGAAGUUUUCUUGUUAGACAUCUGUCAUCAGUUACCUGCUCACACUUUUGUAUUCAUCAUAAAAUAAAUGACCAUAGCGUGGUACAAACUGUUCUCGUAUCCCGUCCUACUACCACCACCCCCCCCCCCCCCAACACACACACACACACACAACCCCUUAGUUGUACAUACUAAAAUAAUUUCCAGUUGUCUUUUCUACACUUCUUGUUGAGAAUAUUGCUUUCCCCCACUCAUCCGCCGCCUUGCUUGGUGACGUGUUCUAUCUUACAGCACUCUCACAUGAGCUGAACAAAUCUCAUGUAUUUUAUACCACAAUACUUCGAUUUCUUUAAUGGAUUAGGUAGAUGCCGCAACAGUUAUUCCACACCAGUUAUUCUUAGGUAGCUUCUGGUUCCCGGUGUUUAUUCACCCGGUUAUCUCAGAAAAGAAUGUUUGCAAUUGCUAGAAUACUAUUUGUGUCCAGUGGUGGAUAUAUUUUUGCAUUGGUCCCUUCUUUUUCAUUUUAAUCCUUGGCUCUCCAUCUGAGCUCAUUAUACAUUAUAUGUAGGCUGUAAUAGUUCUGAAUUUUUUUAAUUUUACUUGUUGGAUAGUUUUCUCGCAGAUUAAUCAUAUGAUUAGGAUAUCUAUGCAACAGUUAGUUUGAAUUGUUCACAUCGAGAUCACGUUUUCCUUGUACUGA